rnacentral:rRNA from 1 species
UACGUAGGGUGCAAGCGUUUAAUCGGAAUUACUGGGCGUAAAGCGUGCGCAGGCGGUUUUGUAAGUCUGUCGUGAAAUCCCCGGGCUCAACCUGGGAAUUGCUAUGGAGACUGCAAGGCUAGAAUCUGGCAGAGGGGGGUAGAAUUCCACGUGGUAGCAGUGAAAUGCGUAGAGAUGUGGAGGAACACCGAUGGCGAAGGCAGCCCCCCUGGGUCAAGAUUGACGCUCAUGCACGAAAGCGUGGGGAGCAAACAGG